GACGAACGCUGGCGGCGUGCCUAAUACAUGCAAGUCGAACGCGGGGGCGCACGGGUGAGUAAUGUAUAGCUAAUCUGCCCUACACUAGAGGACAACAGUUGGAAACGGCUGCUAAUACUCUAUAGUGUAGGAUGAGGCUAUAUUGUAUCAGCUAGUUGGUGAGGUAAUGGCUCACCAAGGCUAUGACGCAUAACUGGUCUGAGAGGAUGAUCAGUCACACUGGAACUGAGACACGGUCCAGACUCCUACGGGAGGCAGCAGUAGGGAAUAUUGCUCACUGGGGGAAACCCUGAAGCAGCAACGCCGCGUGGAGGAUGACACUUUUCGGAGCGUAAACUCCUUUUGUUAGGGAAGCGGUACCUAACGAAUAAGCACCGGCUAACUCCGUGCCAGCAGCCGCGGUAAUAC
rnacentral:rRNA from 1 species